rnacentral:rRNA from 1 species
UCCAGACUCCUACGGGAGGCAGCAGUGAGGAAUAUUGGUCAAUGGCCGAGAGGCUGAACCAGCCAAGUCGCGUGAGGGAAGACGGUCCUAUGGAUUGUAAACCUCUUUUGUCGGGGAGUAAAAGACGCCACGCGUGGCGUUCCGAGAGUACCCGAAGAAAAAGCAUCGGCUAACUCCGUGCCAGCAGCCGCGGUAAUACGGAGGAUGCGAGCGUUAUCCGGAUUUAUUGGGUUUAAAGGGUGCGCAGGCGGAAGAUCAGGUCAGGGGUAAAAUUGAGAGGCUCAACCUCGUCGAGCCGUUGAAACUGGGUGCCUUGAGUGGGCGAGAAGUACGCGGAAUGCGUGGUGUAGCGGUGAAAUGCAUAGAUAUCACGCAGAACUCCGAUUGCGAAGGCAGCGUACCGGCGCCCAACUGACGCUGAAGCACGAAGGCGUGGGUAUCGAACAGGAUUAGAUACCCCGGUAU